rnacentral:tRNA from 1 species
GGCAGACAGAUGCCGGAGGAAUUACAUUCCACGUCCGAAGGUCGCGGGUUCGAGUCCCGCCCUGCCGCCA